CCGGUCCCGGUUCACGUCCGCACCCGCGGCGACCCGGCGGCC
rnacentral:ncRNA from 1 species